rnacentral:rRNA from 1 species
UACGUAGGGGGCAAGCGUUGUCCGGAUUUAUUGGGCGUAAAGAGCGUGUAGGCGGUUUGGUAGGUCCGCUGUGAAAACUCGAGGCUCAACCUCGAGACGCCGGUGGAAACCAUCAGGCUAGAGUCCGGAAGAGGAGAGUGGAAUUCCUGGUGUAGCGGUGAAAUGCGCAGAUAUCAGGAAGAACACCCGUGGCUAAGGCGGCUCUCUAGUACGGUACUGACGCUGAGACGCGAAAGUGUGGGGAUCAAACAGG